rnacentral:rRNA from 1 species
UACGGGGGGGGCAAGCGUUGUUCGGAAUUACUGGGCGUAAAGGGUUCGUAGGCGGCUUGCUAAGUCAGACGUGAAAUCCCUCAGCUUAACUGGGGAACUGCGUCUGAGACUGGCAAGCUUGAGUGCAGGAGAGGAACGCGGAAUUCCAGGUGUAGCGGUGAAAUGCGUAGAUAUCUGGAGGAACACCGGUGGCGAAGGCGGCGUUCUGGACUGCAACUGACACUGAAGAACGAAAGCCAGGGGAGCAAACGGG